rnacentral:misc_RNA from 1 species
UUUCCGUAGGUGAACCUGCGGAAGGAUCAUUAUUGGAUUUUGAAACUUCAGGCUGCUGCUGGCUCUCCUCGGAGGGCAUGUGCACGCUUGUUGUCCAUUAUUUCUCCCACUGUGCACAAAUUGUAGACCUUUCAGUAGGCCUAUGUUGUUUUUCACAAUCUCUGAAUGUAAUAGAAUGGUUUUGAAUCUUGGGAAAUACAAUACAACUUUCAGCAACGGAUCUCUUGGCUCUCGCAUCGUUGAAGAACGCAGC